CCUACGGGAGACAGCAGUAGGGAAUCUUCCACAAUGGGCGAAAGCCUGAUGGAGCAACGCCGCGUGGGUGAAGAAGGUCUUCGGAUCGUAAAACCCUGUUGUUAGAGAAGAAAGUGCGUGAGAGUAACUGUUCACGUUUCGACGGUAUCUAACCAGACAGCCACGGCUAACUACGUGCCAGCAGCCGCGGUAAUACGUAGGUGGCAAGCGUUAUCCGGAUUUAUUGGGCGUAAAGGGAACGCAGGCGGUCUUUUAAGUCUGAUGUUAAAGCCUUCGGCUUAACCGGAGUAGUGCAUUGGAAACUGGGAGACUUGAGUGCAGAAGAGGAGAGUGGAACUCCAUGUGUAGCGGUGAAAUGCGUAGAUAUAUGGAAGAACACCAGUGGCGAAAGCGGCUCUCUGGUCUGUAACUGACGCUGAGGUUCGAAAGCGUGGGUAGCAAACAGGAUUAGAUACCCGAGUAGUC
rnacentral:rRNA from 1 species